rnacentral:snoRNA from 1 species
UAGCCUGAAAUGAUGGUAUGAGUCCAUGUCUCUUCUCUGAGAUGUGUCUUGGAGACAGCUAGGUGCGUUUCUGAUCAGGCUU